CGGGUGUCUGGGGCGGACGGCAAGUUUACUUUGAACAAAUUUGAGCGCUCAAAGCAGGCCUAUGCCUGACAAUUCUUGCAUGGAAUAAUGGAAUAGGACUUCGGUUCUAUUUUGUUGGUUUUCGGAUCCGAAGUAAUGGUUAAGAGGGACAGACGGGGGCAUUUGUAUGGCGGUGUUAGAGGUGAAAUUCUAUGAUCAUCGCCAGACAAACUAAAGCGAAAGCAUUUGCCAAGGAUGUUUUCAUUAAUCUGGAGCCAAAGUCAGAGGUUCAAAGACGACCAGAUACCGUCGUAGUUCUGACCAUAAACGAUACCAACUGACGAUCCGUGGGUGCUCGUUCAUUGACCCCAUGGGCAGUCCCCGGGAAACCUUGAAGUCUUUGGGUUCCGGGGGAAGUAUGGUUGCAAAGCUGGAACUUAAAGGAAUUGACGGAAGGGCACCACCAGGAGUGGAGCGUGCGGUUCAAUUCGACUCAACACGGGAAAUCUCACCCGGCCCGGACACUGUGAGGAUUGACAGAUUGAGAGCUCUUUCUUGAUUCGGUGGUUGGUGGUGCAUGGCCGUUCUUAGUUGGUGGAGCGAUUUGUCUGGUUAAUUCCGAUAACGAACGAGACUUUGGCCUGCUAAAUAGUAUACCCGUCCUCUGCUCUUGUGCGGGUGGCGGUAGUGGUAGCCUUUCGGGGUGAUACUGCCGUACGCCGGCGAGGGCUGCGCGGGUCUAUACUUCUUAGAGGGACAAGCGGUUUUUAGCCGCACGAAAUUGAGCA
rnacentral:rRNA from 1 species